rnacentral:pre_miRNA from 1 species
UAUAUAUAUGCGGAGCUCCUUUUGGUCCAAAAUGAGGACUCUGAAAGAGGGCAUAGCAGGUCUGCUAGUUCAUGGAUACCUAUGGGUUGCAGUUGGAAACUAACACAUUUUUGCGCAGCUUAAGGGUUUGCAUGACCUGGGAGACGUGUUUCCCUUCCCCUUUCCUUAAUUGGAUUGAAGGGAGCUCCUCCUGUUUAUUUG